rnacentral:rRNA from 2 species
UGGAACUCCAUGUGUAGCGGUGGAAUGCGUAGAUAUAUGGAAGAACACCAGUGGCGAAGGCGGCUACCUGGUCUGCAACUGACGCUGAGACUCGAAAGCAUGGGUAGCGAACAGGAUUAGAUACCCUGGUAGUCCAUGCCGUAAACGAUGAGUGCUAGGUGUUGGAGGGUUUCCGCCCUUCAGUGCCGGAGCUAACGCAUUAAGCACUCCGCCUGGGGAGUACGACCGCAAGGUUGAAACUCAAAGGAAUUGACGGGGGCCCGCACAAGCGGUGGAGCAUGUGGUUUAAUUCGAAGCUACGCGAAGAACCUUACCAGGUCUUGACAUCUUGCGCCAACCCUAGAGAUAGGGCGUUUCCUUCGGGAACGCAAUGACAGGUGGUGCAUGGUCGUCGUCAGCUCGUGUCGUGAGAUGUUGGGUUAAGUCCCGCAACGAGCGCAACCCUUGUUACUAGUUGCCAGCAUUAAGUUGGGCACUCUAGUGAGACUGCCGGUGACAAACCGGAGGAAGGUGGGGACGACGUCAGAUCAUCAUGCCCCUUAUGACCUGGGCUACACACGUGCUACAAUGGACGGUACAACGAGUCGCGAACUCGCGAGGGCAAGCAAAUCUCUUAAAACCGUUCUCAGUUCGGACUGCAGGCUGCAACUCGCCUGCACGAAGUCGGAAUCGCUAGUAAUCGCGGAUC